GAGCUUUUCCAAGGGCAAGGAGUUUUGAUACUCACCUAAGAGCUUGAGAAGAGAAAAUGAAUCCUAAAGUUGGAGGCGGUGGCGGUGGAACUUGAGAAGUUGUCAAGAACCAAACCCAACACUCACCGAGAUAAACAGGUGACAUGAGGGGGACUCAUUUUUGGGGGAGCUUAGGGAGCUUAUAUUUUGGAAUUUCUUUAUUUGCACUAUUUUGUAUAUGAGUGCUUAUUGAAUUAUUUUGGGAAUAUUUUGUAACUAUGGAUAUAUGACUUAUACGAUUGAUUGCAAUUCCGCAUAUAUGUAUCCAUGAGUAUUUUGGAAACCCAUAGCUAGUU